ACACCUGGGCUGCAUUUCUGGGAGCUGGUCUGAAGUCACAGCAGGAAGAACAUUGUCACCUUUCAAACCUGGCUGUUACUCAGCACACAAAAGCCAGAAUGUAUUGGGGGACUUGCAGAGAAGGACUCGCCUGCUUCAUCACAGGGGCAGGUUAAAGGACUGGGGGAAAACAAAGCAAGAUCAGAUCAAACAAAACACACAGCAAAGAAGCAGCAACAGUCACACCAUGGUAUGAGGCCAGCAAAGUGAUUCAGCAUGGUAAUGUGUGCAGCUGAACUUCCUUUAUAGAAUGUCUUCUCUCUCCUUCAAAUCCUGUUCUCUAAUUUAAACAUACAUUGAUAAGGGCAGUUUCGAAGAGUUGAGAAAAGAAGAAGCCAUCCUGGAACAUUGGAGUUAACUGGGCACUGUGGAAGUCCCAUGGCUCCGUGGGUGAACACACAGCAGCACAGCUGUUGCCUCUCAAUCAGGGACUGUUGCUGUAUUUAUUGACUGAAUCAAAGUGCUUCUGUGUCGGGAAUAAACCAGAACACAACGUGUUCCUGGGAGAACGAGGCAGUGAAAAUACAAGAGCAACAAGGCGCAUGUCUCCAUAUUACAAGAUCAGUGACGUCAGAAUGGACGGUGCCUAUGGAGAAGUACUAAGGUGACGCUCAACCACUCAACUGUACAGGAUGCAGAGGAAGAGGAGGAGAAGAGAGGGAGGAGGAAUGUCUCACUUCCUCUGUUCUCUUGUUCUUGGGUUAGUUGGUUUUUGGUAAAGUUUGCCAGUUCAGGUCACCUUGUUUCGUUAUUUAUUAGUCUCAUUCCAAAGGAGAAAAUUAAUACUUGUUCAGGAAAGUGGCAUAAAAUUAAAGAAUGCUCAGAAGUGUGCUAAGCUUCUUCAGGGAUAAAAGGAAUUUUCUGGGUUUUCAAUUUCCGUUUUCUACCUAUGAAUGAUGGUGAGUGGGCCCUGUAAGAGUUCUACAGUCGAUGUAGAGAGAAACAACAGCAGGAGGCAGAGGACGGCUUCCCUAUGUUCCUCACCCUUCGGAUUGCCAGCCUCUGGAGGGGUCAUUUGCUCCUCUGAUUAUGUCUCAAGUGCAGCAUCCCUGGCCUUCCCAUCCCUACCCAGGUUCAAGGGAUGGAGACAGAAGGUUCCAGAUGCAGCUCACCUUCAGCCACACCGGAGUUUCUGCAGAAAGAGCUGACCACGCUGUGAACUAGAACCCCAGAAUCUAAAUUGAAGAAAGUUUUCAACAGUCAAUUUUGGAACGGGCUGCAUCUAUAUUGUUUGCUUCAAAAACAAGGAAUUGGGUUAGGGUUAUAUGGAAUAAUCUCUUUGAAUCUUCCAACCCGGAGGCUGAAUUUUAUAUAUAAUGAUUCUUGUUGGAAUACAUUAUGUAAAGACGUGUCUCUGUAUAUUCAAUUGUUAAUUCUGUCCCGGCAGAGAUCUAAGUGCUGGCAGGAUUCUGGUGCUGUCAUUCCUAAGGCCCAUCACCAGGUUUUCUAUUGUGUAACUAGUCCUUCUUCAUUUGCCUUCUUCAUUCUUCAAGGCAAUCUAGAAUUGUAUCUAAUUGACUGUAAUAAAGAUCUGAUGGCCAAUAGCUGGGCAGGAAGUGAAGGGCUCACCUUCUGGCAGAGAGAGGGACUUUGGGAGAAGAAUUAGAGGCAGGAGACUCAGCCCUCUGACGAUGAGGUGACCACGUGGACCAGAGCCAAACAGAAUGGCGGGGCUGGACACGUGAUAGGACACAGUGCCAGGAUUGGUUGGGUUAGAGUAGCCCAACAGAAGGCCCAAGCUUUAAGCCUCUGUGUCACUAUUUAAAUUACUGAUGAGUCCAAGAUAGCCCCACCAUAGACUCUUUUUAGAGGCUUCUACGUUGGUUUUGUAGAGAAAACUUCUUGUAACAUCACCUGUCAAUAAUAAUAAAAGCCAGUGACCAAUGAGCUGAGGCAGGAAAUAGGUACAACACUGGCAGGAAGAGAGAGGAUUCAGGGAAAUAGUAAGAGAUAAAAGACUCCGUGAGAGAGCCCCGAAAGAUGGAGGGAGGGAGAGGAGACUGGCAUAAUGAAUUAAAUGAACUCAGGGAGACGGGAAGGAAGAAGCAGACAGGGAUAGAAGGAGAUGUAACUAACCAAAUGGUAGACAUUGGAUAGUUGGAAUGGGUUAAAUAAGUUAGGAGCUAGGCAGGGACUGAGCCAAAGCUCAUAGUCUAGGCAUUUAAGAAUAACUAACCAGUCUCAGGGUCCCCAUUCCAGGAGCAGGACUGGAAACGGAAAACCAGAUAUGAUCUUUUAACCAGUUUUUAUUGCAGAUACAUCUGUACUGCCUGCCACUACUGUCUGCUGCUGCUUAUGAAUAGUUUUGCACAUUAGUGUGUGCUUAGAUGGGAAGGCUUCCACUAAGCCUUCCCAGGCUCUCUGACCACACCCACUUUCAUCCAAGGAGAGUUUGAUGUUUUUGAUAUCUUUGCUCCCACAUUCAGAAAGCUCUCCCUAGGAUUCUACCACACACAUCUGCCUGCUUGUUUCCGUGCUGGCUUUUGCAGUACGUAGGGCCUGGCACAUGUUAGAGCAGUCCUGUCUGACAAUAUAAAAACUGCGAACAUAGUAGAAAGAGAACUCAAGACACUGGAGAGAGAUGGAAAGUGGUGUGGAGCAUAGAAACUGAAUUAAAAGCCCAGAAUUAUUCCUGACAGAAGAGCAAAUUCCUAAUGAUGGGAGCAGGAUAUGGCUUCCCUGAGGGACAAUGGGGAAGGACCAUCCCAACAGCUGAGAAUAGAACAGAAAAGCAAUAGUGUCCACUGGAUGGAUGAGGUCACGUUGGAUGGUGUAUUUGAGUCCAUUUUAAGUUUCUGCAGAACAUCACACAAAGGUCUGGGUUAUUUUUAUGUUCCCUUGACAUUCCCAUGGUUCUGAAACUGGACCUCAUGGGGCCUGGUGUGUAGCUCAGUGGCAGAGCACAUGUUUAACUUGCAUGCAACCUGGUGUCUGUUCUCAGCACUGGCUGAUUUAAUAAUAAAAUAAAAAGUGGUUAAUAAGGGUAAAGGUGACAACUACUGAGAUUUUUUAAA